rnacentral:rRNA from 1 species
AUUGAACGCUGGCGGUAUGCUUAACACAUGCAAGUCGAACGGUAGCAGGCCUUCGGGCGCUGACGAGUGGCGGACGGGUGAGUAACGCGUAGGAAUCUGCCUCAUAGUGGGGGACAACGUGGGGAAACUCACGCUAAUACCGCAUACGCUCUUUGUUCUAAGGAAUGGGGAGGAAAGCGGGGGACCUUCGGGCCUCGCGCUAUGAGAUGAGCCUGCGUUAGAUUAGCUAGUUGGUAGGGUAAAGGCCUACCAAGGCGACGAUCUAUAGCUGGUCUGAGAGGACGAUCAGCCACACUGGGACUGAGACACGGCCCAGACUCCUACGGGAGGCAGCAGUGGGGAAUAUUGGACAAUGGGCGCAAGCCUGAUCCAGCAAUACCGCGUGUGUGAAGAAGGCCCUAGGGUUGUAAAGCACUUUCAAUAGGGAGGAAAACCUGCCGGUCAAUACCCGGUAGCUUGACAUUACCUAUACAAGAAGCACCGGCUAACUCCGUGCCAGCAGCCGCCGUAAAAC